ACACCUCAACUCUCGUGGUUUGCCAUGAUGAGCUUGGACUUUGGGGGUUUUGCUGGCCCAUGUGGUUGUGGCUCCUCUCAAAUAAAUCAGCCUGCCAGUGUUUGGUGGCUCCAUGAGUGUGAUAACUGUCUACGCUUGUGGUUGUCCACCAGGUGACCUUCAGCGAUGGAGGUUUGCUGGAGCUUACAAAUGUCUCUCCUCAGCAGAGACGGUUUUUGAAC
rnacentral:misc_RNA from 1 species